rnacentral:misc_RNA from 1 species
AACAAAUCCAUAUCUUUAAGUUAUUCUUGAUAUUCCUUUAUGAUUUAGAAUUAUUUAUAGUCUUUAAAGUGUAAUAUGUUUUAUUGAUGGUUUGAAUUUCAUUUUUUUUAAAAUUAAACAUCAUGUAAAUCAAAUGCAUAUAAUGAUAUGAUUAAUUAAUGCUUUGAGGCAACCUUAUUUAUGUUAUCUUUCAUCUCGUUAUGUUUGUAAAUUGUUAUAGAUUGUUAAUUUGUUGACAAAUUUGUAUUUUGACUGUUAUGAUCAAAUAUCAUUUAAUUGGCGUCAAAAAUAUGUAUGUAUUAUGUGUGUUGCAUUAUUGCCAUAAUAUGUUGUUUUGUGAAAUAAUAUCGAUCUAAGGCUAUUUAAUAGUCAUUUUGUUAAGUUAACUAUUUUAU